rnacentral:rRNA from 1 species
CCUACGGGAGGCAGCAGUAGGGAAUCUUCCACAAUGGGCGCAAGCCUGAUGGAGCAACACCGCGUGAGUGAAGAAGGGUUUCGGCUCGUAAAGCUCUGUUGUUGGAGAAGAACGUGCGUGAGAGUAACUGUUCACGCAGUGACGGUAUCCAACCAGAAAGUCACGGCUAACUACGUGCCAGCAGCCGCGGUAAUACGUAGGUGGCAAGCGUUCGCCGGAUUGAUUGGGCGUAAAGCGAGCGCAGGCGGUUGCUUAGGUCUGGGGUGAAAGCCUUCGGCUUACCCGCAGAAGUGCCUCGGAAACCGGGCGACUUGAGUGCCGCAGAGGCCAGUGGAACUCCAUUUGUAGC